rnacentral:misc_RNA from 1 species
AAGUAAAGUCGUAACAAGGUUUCCGUAGGUGAACUGCGGAAGGAUCAUUAAUAAUUUUUUAGGUUGAAAUUUGAACCUAAAAAUAUAAUAAUCCUACCCUUUGUGAAUUUGUUGUUUGAAAUAAUUUUUUAAAAAAUUAUUUAUAGUUUGUCUAUCCUGAGUUGUAGAGAAGUAAUUCUUGAGACUUAGGGAAUGGCUUUAUCUAUAAUAAUGAUUUAAAGACCUUUUUUUAAAUUAACUUUGUAUUCAUUUGUCUAAAUUUAUUUUUAUAAUUUAAAAACACUUUUGACAAUGGAUCUCUUGGUUCUCGCAACGAUGAAGAACGCAGCAAAAUGCGAUAAGUAAUGUGAAUUGCAGAAUACGUGAAUCAUCAAUCUUCGAACGCAUAUUGCACUUUUUAGUUUACUAAAAAAGAAUGUCUGUUUGAGUAUCAGUAAAAUAUUCUCAUAAAAAAUUUAUUUUUUAUGGUUUGAGUGUUUUACACGAUACAAGUUGUUUCACUUUAAAUUGACUUUAAAUUGCCUAUUAUUAGUCAUUUUUAAAAUUGCAUAAAAUUUCCCGUAAAGGAAUAACCUAUCAAUUUAAAUUAACUAUAUAAAAGGCCUGAUAAAAGGAAAUUUAAUUAAUAACUUGAUUCAAUCAGAUAAGAGUACCCGCUGAACUUAAGCAUAUCAAUAGCGGAGGAAAAGAAAUAACAAGGAUUCCCUAGUACGGCGAGUGAAGCGGGAAGAGCUCAAAUUUGAAUCUUCAAGGUUUGACCUUGACGAAUUGUGUUUAAAGAAGUGUUUUCGGUUAGAGGAGUGGUAAAAGUUCUUUGGAAUAGACAUCAUAGAGGUGAGAAUCCGUAUUUGACCAUUCUUUCUAGCUUUGUGUACACUUUCAAAGAGUCGAUUGUUUGGGAAUGCAGUCCAAAAUGGGCGGUAAUUUCAUCUAAGCUAAAUAUUGGCGAGAGACCGAUAGCGAACAAGUACCGUGGAAAGAUGAAAGAACUUUGAAAGAGAGUUAACAGUACGUGAAAUUGUCAAAGGAAGCGUUGACACCAGUGUGUUUUCCGAAAAUCAAUUAAAAUGGAUUCAUGCCAAGUUGUAUUGACCUUAUCAGCUUGCAACUUGGUUUUGGGUUCUUUUUGAUGCACUUUUCGGUUACAAGUCAACAUCAAUUUCCUUUGCUGUAAAGGGCAGAAGGAAGGUGGCUUCAAUUUCGGUUGAAGUGUUUAUAGCCUUCUGUCUCUGCAGUCGGGAGAUUGAGGUCUGCAGCGUAGAUCCUUCGGGUUAGAUACAUUCGUGCUAAGUUAUGCCUUUUAUAGACAACUUGUUGGACUAUGAUCGGUCUGUAAUUUACUCGCGAGUGCUAUUUUACUACGCUUAGAUGUUGAA